rnacentral:rRNA from 1 species
AUCUGGUGCUUAUGGCAUAGUGGACA